rnacentral:hammerhead_ribozyme from 1 species
GCCAUGCUGACGAGACCCACAAGGUCGAAACUGUACAGUCCAUGGC